GGAUGAACGCUGGCGGCGUGCCUUAGGCAUGCAAGUCGAACGGUUGCCUUCGGGCAACAGUGGCAGACGGGUGAGUAACGGGUAGGAAUCUACCCCUUGGUAGGGAAUAACUCAUCGAAAGAUGGGCUAAUACCGUAUAAGUUCGUAAGAAGAAAGGGCGUAACUGCCCGCCGAGGGAUGUGCCUGCCUGCUAUCAGCUAGUUGGUGAGGUAAUGGCUCACCAAGGCUAUGACGGCUAGGGGGCGUGAGAGCGUGAUCCCCCACAAUGAAACUGCGACACGGUUCAUACAUCUACGGAUGGCAGCAACCAGGAAUAUUGCGCAAUGGACGAAAGUCUGACGCAGCGACGCCGCGUGCGGGAUUAAGGCCUUCGGGUCGUAAACCGCUGUGGAGAGGAAUGAAUAAGAUGACAGUACCUUUCUAGAAAGCACCUGCUAACUACGUGCCAGAAGCCUCGGUAAUACGUAGGGUGCUAGCGUUAUCCGGAAUCACUGGGCGUAAAGGGUUUUGUAGGCGGUAAGUUAAGUGGUGGGUUAAAGACUAAGGCUCAACCUUAGAUAUGCCCAUCAAACUAGCUAACUAGAGAUAGUUUGGGGGAUGCUGGAAUUCUCGGUGUAGUAGUGAAAUGCGUUGAUAUCGAGAAGAACACCAAAGGCGAAGGCAGGCAUCUAAGACUAUACUGACGCUGAUAAACGAAAGCUGGGGGAGCGAAAGGGAUUAGAGACCCCUGUAGUCCCAGCCGUAAACGAUGGACACUAGCUGUUUGCUCUUUAAGAGUGAGUGGCGCAAGCUAACGCGUUAAGUGUCCCGCCUGGGGAGUACGACCGCAAGGUUAAAACUCAAAGGAAUUGACGGGGAUGCGCACAACCAGCGUGCCAUGUGGUUUAAUUCGAUACAAAACGAUGAACCUUACCUAGACUUGACAUCCUGAUCAUAUCUUUAGGAAACUAGAGAGUCGGUUCGGCCGGAUCAGUGACAGCUGUUGCAUGGUUGUCGUCAGUUCGUGUCGUGAGGCGUCCUGUUAAGUCAGGUAACGAACGCAACCCCUGUUGCAUGUUAAAUAUCCAUGCAAGACUGCCCCUCUUAUUGGGGGGGAGGAAGGAGGGGACGACGUCAAAUCAGCAUGACGCUUACGUCUAGGGCUACACACAUGGUGUAAUGGGUGGUACAACGGGUCGCGACAGGGUAACCUUGAGCUAAUCCUUAUAAAACCACCCUCAGUUCGGAUUGGGGGCUGCAAUUCGCCCCCAUGAAGGGGAGUUGGUAGUAAUCGCAGGUCAGCUAUACUGCGGUGAAUACGUUCUCGCAUCUUGUACACACCGCC
rnacentral:rRNA from 1 species